GCACGGAGUUAGCCGAUCCUUAUUCUUACAGUACCGUCAAGCUCCGACACGUCGGAGUGUUUCUUCCUGUACAAAAGCAGUUUACAAUCCAUAGGACCGUCAUCCUGCACGCGGCAUGGCUGGAUCAGGCUUGCGCCCAUUGUCCAAUAUUCCUCA
rnacentral:rRNA from 1 species